rnacentral:rRNA from 1 species
AUGGCCUCCUCCUCCCACCAAGAAGAACUCCAUGAACAAGGCCAGGAAGACCACCACGACCAGCACGGCGACCAAAUCACCGCUCCACUUCUGCAGCCAUCGGCGACGGCGUCGCCUAGUUCGCCGGAGGAAGGAGAGGAGAACUCGCCGGUGGAGCAGGUGGCGCUGACGGUGCCGGUGGGAGACGACCCGUCGACGCCGGUGCUGACGUUCCGGAUGUGGGUGCUCGGCGCGACCGCCUGCGUGGCGCUCUCCUUCCUCAACACCUUCUUCGGGUACCGCAAGGAGCCGCUGGAGAUCACGGCCAUCUCGGCGCAGGUCGCCGUGGUGCCGCUGGGCCGGCUCAUGGCCGCGGCGCUCCCCGAGCGCGCCUUCUUCCGGGGCCGGCGGUGGGAGUUCACGCUCAACCCGGGGCCCUUCAACGUGAAGGAGCACGUGCUCAUCACCAUCGUCGCCAACGCCGGCGCCGGCAGCGUCUUCGCCAUCAACCUCGUCACGGCCCUCCGCGUCUUCUACGGCAAGCCCAUCUCCUUCUUCGUGUCCCUUCUCGUCGUCCUCACCAGUCAGGUGCUGGGGUUCGCGUGGGCGGGCAUAUUCCGGCGGUAUCUUGUGGAGCCGGCGGCGAUGUGGUGGCCGUCCAACCUUGUGCAGGUCUCCCUCUUCAGGGCACUUCAUGAGAAGGAACGAAGGCACAAAGGUGGCAUGACGCGCACUCAAUUCUUCAUGGUGGCAUUCGGGUGCAGUUUUGCCUACUACAUCUUUCCAAGCUACCUGUUUGAGAUGCUCACUUCCAUUUCCUGGAUCUGCUGGAUCUUUCCCACCUCUGUAGUCGCUCAACAGCUUGGCUCGGGCCUCCACGGCCUUGGCAUAGAUGGCCUCUUUACGGUGACAGGUCAGAAGUACAACAUCUCUAGUAUUGUGGAUUCCGAGUUCCACUUCGAUGCAAAUGCCUAUGAGAAGAAUGGGCCACUAUACAUAAGCACCUUCUUUGCUGUCAGCUAUGGUCUUGGUUUUGCUUGCCUGACCGCAACCAUUGUCCAUGUUCUCCUUUUCCAUGGAAGUGAAAUUUGGGAGUUAAGCAAAUCAGCUUUCCAGGAUAGAAAAAUGGAUGUACACACAAAGCUUAUGAGGAGAUACAGGCAGGUUCCUGAAUGGUGGUUCAUUUGCAUCCUUGUCGCCAGUGCUGCAAUCACCGUGUUCACUUGUGAGUACUACAUUGAGCAACUUCAGUUACCCUGGUGGGGGAUACUGCUUGCAUGUGCCCUUUCCAUUUUCUACACCCUUCCAAUUGGAAUCAUCACAGCAACAACCAACCAGACUCCAGGUUUGAAUAUCAUCACGGAGUACAUCAUGGGUUACUUAUAUCCUGGACGACCUGUUGCAAACAUGUGUUUCAAGGUAUAUGGCCACGUUGCCCCUCGUCAAGCUCUAGCAUUUCUGCAAGAUUUUAAGUUGGGCCACUACAUGAAGAUUCCCCCAAGGACCAUGUUUAUGGCUCAGGUUGUAGGCACUUUGAUAUCAGCAUUUGUGUACCUUGGAACAGCAUGGUGGAUGAUGGACACAAUCCCCAAUAUAUGCAACACCGAGCUCCUCCCAGCAGGCAGCCCUUGGACCUGUCCUUACGACCAUUUAUUCCACGAUGCAUCAGUCAUAUGGGGCCUUAUCAGCCCACGCAGAAUAUUCGGCGAUUUGGGAACUUACUCUGCUGUGAACUGGUUCUUUUUGGGCGGUGCCAUCGCUCCCCUCCUUGUCUGGCUUGCACACAAGGCAUUCCCAGGCCAAAAAUGGAUCUUGCUUGUCAAUAUGCCUGUGCUGCUCGGAGGAAUCAGUCAUAUGCCUCCUGCCACUGCAGUCAACUACACGGCGUGGAUAUGCGUUGCAUUUUUGUCAGGUUAUGUGGUCUAUAAGUACCGACAUAACUGGUGGAAGAGACACAAUUAUCUCCUUUCAGGUGCCCUGGAUGCUGGUUUGGCAUUCAUGGCUGUCUUGAUAUAUUUAUGCCUGGAACUAGAUAACAUCACUUUGAACUGGUGGGGCAAUGUUUCAGAUGGAUGUCCUCUGGCUUCUUGCCCCACUGCAAAGGGUAUAAUUGUAGAUGGUUGUCCGGUGCAUAAUUGA